rnacentral:rRNA from 1 species
AUUGAACGCUGGCGGCAGGCCUAACACAUGCAAGUCGAGCGGAUGAGGAGAGCUUGCUCUCUGAUUUAGCGGCGGACGGGUGAGUAAUGCCUAGGAAUCUGCCUGGUAGUGGGGGAUAACGUUCCGAAAGGAACGCUAAUACCGCAUACGUCCUACGGGAGAAAGCAGGGGACCUUCGGGCCUUGCGCUAUCAGAUGAGCCGAGGUCGGAUUAGCUAGUUGGUGAGGUAAUGGCUCACCAAGGCGACGAUCCGUAACUGGUCUGAGAGGAUGAUCAGUCACACUGGAACUGAGACACGGUCCAGACUCCUACGGGAGGCAGCAGUGGGGAAUAUUGGACAAUGGGCGAAAGCCUGAUCCAGCCAUGCCGCGUGUGUGAAGAAGGUCUUCGGAUUGUAAAGCACUUUAAGUUGGGAGGAAGGGCAGUAAGUUAAUACCUUGCUGUUUUGACGUUACCGACAGAAUAAGCACCGGCUAACUUCGUGCCAGCCGCCGCAGUAACAC